CCUACGGGUGGCAGCAGUGAGGAAUAUUGGUCAAUGGGCGCGAGUCUGAACCAGCCAAGUAGCGUGAAGGAUGACUGCCCUACGGGUUGUAAACUUCUUUUAUAAAGGCAUAAAGUGAGGUACGUGUGCCUUUUUGUAUGUAUUUUAUGAAUAAGGAUCGGCUAACUCCGUGCCAGCAGCCGCGGUACUACGGAGGAUCCGAGCGUUAUCCGGAUUUAUUGGGUUUAAAGGGAGCGUAGAUGGUUUGUUAAGUCAGUUGUGAAAGUUUGCGGCUCAACCGUAAAAUUGCAAUUGAUACUGGCAGUCUUGAGAACAGGUGCGGUAGGCGGAAUUCGUGGUGUAGCGGUGAAAUGCUUAGAUAUCACGAAGAACUCCGAUUGCGAAGGCAGCUUACUAAACUGCCACUGACAUUGAUGCUCGAAAGUGUGGGUAUCAAACAGGAUUAGAUACCCGAGUAGUC
rnacentral:rRNA from 1 species